GAUGAACGCUAGCUACAGGCUUAACACAUGCAAGUCGAGGGGCAGCAUGAAAGGAACUUCGGUUCUUUUUGAUGGCGACCGGCGCACGGGUGCGUAACGCGUAUCGAACCUGCCUCAUACUCGGGGAUAGCCUUGCGAAAGUAAGAUUAAUACCCGGCGGUCUCGGAUGGCCGCAUGACUAUCCGAGUGAAGAUUUAUCGGUAUGAGAUGGCGAUGCGUCCCAUUAGCUAGUUGGUGAGGUAAUGGCUCACCAAGGCAUCGAUGGGUAGGGGUUCUGAGAGGAAGGUCCCCCACAUUGGAACUGAGACACGGUCCAAACUCCUACGGGAGGCAGCAGUGAGGAAUAUUGGUCAAUGGCCGAGAGGCUGAACCAGCCAAGUCGCGUGAAGGAAGAAGGAUCUAUGGUUUGUAAACUUCUUUUAUAGGGGAAUAAAGUGGAGGACGUGUCCUUUUUUGUAUGUACCCUAUGAAUAAGCAUCGGCUAACUCCGUGCCAGCAGCCGCGGUAAUACGGAGGAUCCGAGCGUUAUCCGGAUUUAUUGGGUUUAAAGGGAGCGUAGAUGGGUUGUUAAGUCAGUUGUGAAAGUUUGCGGCUCAACCGUAAAAUUGCAAUUGAUACUGGCAGUCUUGAGUACAGUUGAGGUAGGCGGAAUUCGUGGUGUAGCGGUGAAAUGCUUAGAUAUCACGAAGAACUCCGAUUGCGAAGGCAGCUUACUAACCUGUAACUGACAUUGAUGCUCGAAAGUGUGGGUAUCAAACAGG
rnacentral:rRNA from 1 species